UACCCGCUGAACUUAA
rnacentral:rRNA from 5 species